CCAGCGGGCUUCCUGAGGAAUGUGAAGAGGACCAGGUCACCUGGGAUUUCUUCCUUCCUCAGAAUGUCUCUCCAAGUCAACAUCGCCUCUGAAUUUUCUAUUUCCUUUUGGCAAAUAAAAGAAAAAGUGAGGAAUGAAGCUCAGUGGUGUUUAGCAGUUUGGCCAGAUUCCACUCUGUCUGUUCCUGCGGUUGACUACUAGGAAGACAGACAAGAGGAUGACUGUGAAAUGGCCUACUUACAGGGUCUUGGUCCACAUAUUUAUCGACAAGACAAGCCCACCAAA